GAUGAACGCUGGCGGCAUGCCUAAUACAUGCAAGUCGAACGAGAGGAAGGAAAGCUUGCUUUUCUGAAUCUUGUGGCGCACGGGUGAGUAACACGUAGGUAACCUGCCCAUGUGCCCGGAAUACCUCCUGGAAACGGAUGCUAAAACCGGAUAGGUAGCAGACAAGCACUUGACAGCUAUUAAACUGGCCUUGGCCAUGAACAUGGCUGGUCCUUCGGUGCAUUAGCUAGUUGGUGAGGUAACGGCCCACCAAGGCGACGAUGCAUAGCCGGCCUGAGAGGGCGGACGGCCACAUUGGGACUGAGACACGGCCCAAACUCCUACGGGAGGCAGCAGUAGGGAAUUUUCGUCAAUGGGGGGAACCCUGAACGAGCAAUGCCGCGUGAGUGAGGAAGGUCUUCGGAUCGUAAAGCUCUGUUGUAAGAGAAAAACGGCACUCAUAGGGAAUGAUGAGUGAGUGAUGGUAUCUUACCAGAAAGUCACGGCUAACUACGUGCCAGCCGCCGCAGUAA
rnacentral:rRNA from 1 species